rnacentral:rRNA from 1 species
AGGAUGAACGCUGGCGGCGUGCCUAAAACAUGCAAGUCAUACGGGCUACCUUCGGGUAGCCAGUGGCAAACGGGUGAGUAACACGUGGGAACGCGCCUUUGGGUGGGGAAUAACGCUGAGAAAUCAGUGCUAAUACCGCAUAUGGUCUAACGACUAAAGCAGCAAUGCGCCCGGAGAGCGGCCCGCGACCGAUUAGCUAGUUGGUGGGGUAAUGGCCUACCAAGGCAGUGAUCGGUAGCUGGUCUGAGAGGAUGGUCAGCCACACUGGGACUGCGAACGGCCCAGACUCCUACGGGAGGCAGCAGUUAGGAAUUUUCGUCAAUGGGGGCAACCCUGAACGAGCAACGCCGCGUGCAGGAAGAAGGUUUUCGGAUCGUAAACUGCUUUUCUCGGGGAAGAGAACGGACGGUACCCGAGGAAUCAGCCCCGGCUAACUACGCGCCAGCAGCCGC